GAUCAUCUUUUGACUACCCCUCUCAGAAACCAGUCCCUCCCAUGGCAUGGCACCCACUGCCAAUCAACCCCUUACCUGGGUGGUCCAUAUGGGACACUAAUAAGUGGAUGGUGAAGUCCAGGAAGGAGCAGUUGCAUAUCCAGGGGUUCCCACUUAGGUACAGAGUCUGGAGCACCACCAGGUGGUGGAAGCCAUUAUGGUCGAUGAUGUGCAAUCCGGUGUUUCUGAGGUCCAGGUACCUCAAAGACGUGGUGUUGGCAAAGACGUAUUUGUCAAGAUACAACAGGUGAGGGUUGUGUGAAAUGUUCAGCCGCACCAGGUUGGUGAGCACUGAGAAGCUGAAAGGGGAGAUGGAAGUUAGGUUGUUGGAGCUGAGGUCAAGGUAGAUGAGUCUGAAGAUCCCGAUGAAGGUAUAAUCCAUCACCUCUCGAAUCCGGUUGUUCUGACAGUCCAAGUAAACGAGGUCACUGAGGAAUCCCAGCUGCAAAGCUGGUAAACUAGUGAUUUUGUUAUUGUUCAGGUAUAGUCUCCGGGUGUUCAGAGGAAUAUCAGCUGGGUAUUCCGUUAGGUGCAAAUCUAUGCAGGCUACUUCUUGGUCUUGACACACACACUUGUUUGGACACUUGGACCCUGAUACCAACCCCAUUCCAAGAGAAAAGAGUAACAACUUGGAGCUAGGGCCUGAAGCAAGGGACAUAGUAAGAAGCCAAGGUUCCCCUCCUUCUACCUUCCUGAGGGCGGGUACAAGCUGUCCUUCUGAUCUGAAGGCUGCCGAGGGGUGGGGCAGGGCAGGGGAUGGGUGCUGGAAAAAACUGUAACACUCUAGCUUUGUGCAAAGCAAUUUUCCAUUACAGGAGAACUGAACAGAAGUUGAAACACGAGGCCCAGUGCCCUGCUGCCGGCUUGGUGGCUCUGCUACUUGCUCAGUCCGAGUGCUGUUGGAAGCUCGCCCACUUGGCAGCUCUGAAAGGUCUCACCCUUUCCCUGCCUUUGUAAGUGAAGGGGAGCCAGGGGAGAACCGCAUGACAAUGAGGUUGCCAGUUGACACUUUUGUGAUGUCAGCAGCCUCGGGAGACUCUGAGGCAGAGGGAGAGAGGUUUCUCACCUCUCCUUCUGGGUGGUCAGGGGUGUUUUGUGUAUGUAGGUAAGCUUGCUCUCUGGAGGAGUCAGGCAUGCAGGUGUGGGGGGAACACACAUGAGGGCCCUGUGUGCAGGUGUGUGCCAGGGCAUUCUUGGAGUGUUCAUAUCAGCUCCACACGGAGGUGUCAGAGAGGAUUUGGCCAGAUAUAAGCCCUUAGUCCAUUCCUAGUGGGAACCUGGGAUGUCUCCAGCCCUAUCAUCCUUUCUGGUGAUCAGCUUUUAGAGCAGACCGUUUCCUGGUUUCUAAAUUUUGAGGGAUGUCAGUUGUUUUUAGAAGAUAGGAAAGGGGUUUGCCUCUUUUGUAAUAAAUCCUCUGAUAAGGUGAGACUCUUAAGAUUUUAUUUCUAGGUUUUAUACAUCCUUGUCUACAUUUGGAUUGUGUGUGUAUGUGUGUGUGUGUGCACACAUGCAUGUACACAUUCUUAUUUUAAAAAGACUUUUUUGAACAGUAAGUUAUUCCCCUUAAAACAAAGCCCAAACGCAGAAUAAAAACCUGUGAGUGUGAUAAUAUGAAUCAUUUCUUAUGACUUGUGUUUUUCAAGGAGUUUAAACACAGCGAGUACAGGUCUAGUGUUUCUACUGUGAGUUUCUGCUCAUUAAGUGCUUGACAGAUGAAAGGAGUCUCUAGAGGAAUGGGGUCUGGGGUGUAUAACUCUCUCUGUGGGGGAAGGCAUGAGGUCAGAAAUGAAGAUGAAGCACCUCAGGAGUUAAAAUGGGUUAUUUAUGGAAAGCAGUACCUUAUUCUUUAAAAACCUUCACAUAUAAUGUAGGUGGGAAUAUUAAUAGCUCAAUGAAACUUGUAUUUAGCUUAGCAUAGCGCCUGGCACUAGGCAUUUAAUAAAUACUUAUUGAAUG
rnacentral:lncRNA from 1 species